rnacentral:rRNA from 1 species
ACCCUUUAAUGUUUGAUGUUCUAACGUGGACCCGUAAUCCGGGUUGCGGACAGUGUCUGGUGGGUAGUUUGACUGGGGCGGUCUCCUCCUAAAGAGUAACGGAGGAGCACGAAGGUUGGCUAAUCCUGGUCGGACAUCAGGAGGUUAGUGCAAUGGCAUAAGCCAGCUUGACUGCGAGCGUGACGGCGCGAGCAGGUGCGAAAGCAGGUCAUAGUGAUCCGGUGGUUCUGAAUGGAAGGGCCAUCGCUCAACGGAUAAAAGGUACUCCGGGGAUAACAGGCUGAUACCGCCCAAGAGUUCAUAUCGACGGCGGUGUUUGGCACCUCGAUGUCGGCUCAUCACAUCCUGGGGCUGAAGUAGGUCCCAAGGGUAUGGCUGUUCGCCAUUUAAAGUGGUACGCGAGCUGGGUUUAGAACGUCGUGAGACAGUUCGGUCCCUAUCUGCCGUGGGCGCUGGAGAACUGAGGGGGGCUGCUCCUAGUACGAGAGGACCGGAGUGGACGCAUCACUGGUGUUCGGGUUGUCAUGCCAAUGGCACUGCCCGGUAGCUAAAUGCGGAAGAGAUAAGUGCUGAAAGCAUCUAAGCACGAAACUUGCCCCGAGAUGAGUUCUCCCUGAGACUUUAAGUCUCCUGAAGGAACGUUGAAGACGACGACGUUGAUAGGCCGGGUGUGUAAGCGCAGCGAUGCGUUGAGCUAACCGGUACUAAUGAACCGUGAGGCUUAACCUUACAACGCCGAAG